rnacentral:tRNA from 1 species
GUGGUCAUAGCUCAGUUGGUUAGAGCGCCGGAUUGUGGAUCCGGAGGUCGGCGGUUCAAGUCCGCUUGGCCACCC